AUGCACACUUUGCAGGAAACAGAAAAAUCAACGCACUUUCCACUCAUCUUCAUCUCAUCGUUCUCCUCCUCCUACAGUAGUAAUAGUAGUUGGUGGUGGUCAUGGUGGUGUUGUUGAGGGUGAUGCUUCAAAGCUGUGGACCUUGAUGCUUCCCCAUCACCGAACUCAACCCAUCUGGCUCUUUCAGCAUAUCUGUGGCUGCAGCAAAGCACUGACUCACUGACUCGCUUACUUAUUCAAUGCCAAGCAUGUGUUUGUUUUGUGGCGAUG
rnacentral:lncRNA from 1 species